UUACGACACUGACGCGUGGAAGGCCAAAGCCCAAAAGCUAACUAAAUAGAGCCUUUCUAGUUGAGAACCAACGAAUCCCACAUCGUCUAGUUACACAAACCUUUAAGUCUUUAUUAGAAGGAAGGAGGCAGAUAAACUUGUCCCUUCGGGGACAUCCGAUAAAAUUGGAACGAUACAGAGAAGAUUAGCAUGGCCCCUGCGCAAGGAUGACACGCAUAAAUCGAGAAAUGGUCCAAAUUUUUUUUCUUUUUCAAAAUCCAAUCGCCCCUCUCUUGCUCCACAGAUAGUCAAUUUAAGCUCCAGACAAGUCUUGGUAACGCUAAUAGUACACAGAAUUUUCAUGUGUGAGCUCCAUUUGGGCAAAGUUUUUAAGGAUUAAAUCAAUUCCUAUUAGGCUAGAAGUUUCUUUGGUAUGAUCUGAAUGCUAGUUCUGACUAUCAUACUUUAAGAAGCUGCUUUAGUUUAGCAGAUAAGUGAUUUAUCUCUGUCUUAUUUUUUUGAUAAGUAAUUUAUCUGUCUUAUUAUUAUUACAGUAUGGAUUGUUAGCUAACUGUGUUUUUCUUCUAAAUAUUUUGUUCUUAUUCUGUUGCUAGUUUACUUUUAAAUAAACAGUCAAUCUGCUCGUAUGUUAUCAACAACUGUGGCUGCCCACAUCAAUAUAAAAUCCUACUGAGUCAAGUAUCAUAUCAUUUUAAGAGUGCUUUUAACCAGGAUGGUAUUUGAUUUGUUCCAGAAGAAUUGAGUGGUGAUGUUUGCAAUCCUAUUGGUUGGAGGAGAUUUAAAGUCUGCAUUCUCAAGUUGGUAUGUGAAGGAAAAUUAGUUUUAGUUGUAAGUUGUAACUAGUAAGCUUUUCUUAAACGUAGAUAGGAUUUACUUGUGAGGUUUAAAGAAAGAUAUAAGUUUAAAUGAUAACCUACAGAUGACAUUGGCACAAAGAGGAAUGGCAGGGAAAGCAUUGCAAGAGGCGAGGGCCAAGGAGGUGGCUUGUUUGAUUUUUGAUUGCAUUGUUGUGUUUCACAUGGUUUUCUUCUUAAUGUAAAGAAGUGGAGUACCUUGAUAAAAUUUGUUAUUGCCCACUUGCAACUGUUAUUUUAAAACCUAAUUAGAUGUGAUUAGAAUGGCGAAAUAAUAAACACAAGAAAACUUCUUGCGUUUACACAUGCUUUGCCUGGCUAAACUUACAGGUUGAUUCUCCUCAGGAUUAUCCAUGUGGUCCAAAAGCCUCACCUCAUAAUCUUACCCCAUUAAUAGUCUUGGUUUGAACUUGAGCCGUUGUGGCCCUAAAAAAUAAGCCUAAUUGAUACAGAUUUCAAUUGUUGAACCCAAAGACAAGAAUCAAUAGAAAAUAAAAUUUAGCAUACAGAAUGUGAUGCCUACAAUUUAAAUUUUGAAAUAAAAUAAAAUAUAAUAAAUUUGUAAUUUUGCACAAAGUAGUGUGCAACUGAGUUUGAGUAUAUUUUAGUGUGCAACUGAGUGCGAGUAUACUUGCUCUAUCAGUUACGUUUAACUAAUGCUCAAGUUAUACUAACUCAAUUGAAGAAGUCCUUAAUUUGUGAUUUCUUAAAUCGUUUCGAGUUCCUAAUAUUGUGCCUUCAAUGCUGAUAUGAAAUUUUCUACGAGUAGAAAAAUUUGAUUGCAGAAAAGCGAUUACAGAAGGGAAGAAGAGACAGCUUCCUUCCAAUUUACAUCAGCAAAAAUGGGAGGACCAAAUGAGGAAUCAAAAAACCCACAAAGGCAUUCUUAAAUGACCAGGUUGCAAGUGAGUGAGCUGCUGCAUUGGCUUCCUUGAAUACCUGGUUGAAGGCAAUAUGAGGGAGGUCGCUUGCAUAGGGUCUUCACACCAUGUAAGAGGCCUUGGAUUCUCCAUGUGGGUUUGGGGUCUGCAUUAUUAAUAGCCUUUAUGCACGCUUGGGAAUCACCUUCUAAUCACAACAUUCUGCAGAUUCUGGUUAGAUGCCAGACACACGGACCAUCUUAAUGCUUUUGCUUCAGCUUGGACCGGGAUAUUGGUGAUACGUUCUUUGUGUGAACAGCUGCAUCACAAUUCAGUUUAAACUGACCUGAAGCAGGCAUGCACCAUUGACUAUUAGCCCUGCUUCUAUCACUUUGAUGAUAGCUCUUCAACACAGACCAAUGCUCCAAGAAGAUCCUACUUAAGCCUCCUUGAAGGCCUUCAUGGGAAAUGCUUUUCCUUUCAAACACAUCAUGGUUUCUCCAUUUCAAGAUAAACUCCAUGAUUGAAGUGCUGUAUAGAUAGAAUAAAGCUUUUCCUGUCUUCUUGGUCAAACAAGAAGUUGCUUGGGGGGUUGAUGAUGAAUUUCAUCAGCCGCUCCGCAUUGUUUGCCAACUGAAUUCUUAUAAUGCAUCUGCUACCAAACCACACGGCUUUAGCUAUCUCAAA